GCCAGGUGCGGUGGCGCAUGCCUGUAAUCCCAAGGACCCAGGAGGCAGAGGCAGGAGGAUCACAAGUGUGGGGCCAGCCUAGCAACUUAGAGACCUCUCUCAA
rnacentral:sRNA from 1 species